UGGCUCAUCCAUGAAAAUUAUAGAAGGGUUUGCCACUAGCUCUACUGCAAUAGUCAGCCGCUUGCGUUGCUCAGUAGAAAGGCCACUUAUACCAGGUAAUCCAACUAAUGCUUGCCUCAGUGGAGUCAGUUCCACAAGCUGCAUAACUUCCUCGAUGAACAUCUUUCGAGUUUCACUGUUCACUUCAGCAGGAAGACGAAGCCAAGCAGAGUAUAGCAAAGACUCAUAGACAGUAACAUGCGGAGAAUGGAUGUCAUUUUGCUCACAAUAUCCUGAAAUUCUAGCAAAGCUUUCUUGCUUCUUUGGGUAGCCAGAGAUUUUGAUGUUUCCCUCAAUAUAUCCACCAGUUUUUCUACCAGCCAGAACAUCCAUCAAAGUAGUUUUACCAGCACCACUAACACCCAUUAGAGCUGUGAAAACACCUGGCCUGAAAGCACCACU
rnacentral:misc_RNA from 1 species